UUUGAUAUCCAGCAUGUGUACUGCCGUUGUAAGCAUACCUCUAAAAGAAAGUACGCCACUAUGACUAUAACUCAUAUACAUCAGGUCAAAGUGCAGCCGAUGAGAAGGUGAUGAUGGGUUACAACCCCAAAAUAGACUAUCAACUAAGAAAUAAAAAAUCUUACGAAAGUGGACUUGGCCGUAAUCAAUUUACAAGUUAAAAAAAUGAAUUAAUAUCUAAGACAUGCACACAUCGCCCGUCACUCUACCCUAAAGGCUAGAUAAGUCGUAACAAAGUAGGUGUAAUGGAAAUUGCACCUGUCGGAGUAUAGCAUAUAAAAUGCUUUUUACUUACACUAAAAAUAAAGUUAAUACUUACGCCGCCCACGCAAUCGCACCUUAAAACUAAUUUAUAAUACAAACAACUAACAUCAAUAUAGAAAAGUACAGAAAUGGAAACAACAAUAAAUAAUAGUAAUUUUUAACAACUGUACCUUGUGCAUUAUGGUUUUACAAGAAAUCAAUUAAACACAAAAAUCCCGAAUUCUAAGUGAGAUGUUAAACUGCUGUUAAGAACCCAUUAGUAACUGUAGAAAAAGCUUUAAAAGACAGUUUAACAGAGGCUACAUACCAUCCGCACAAGAAUAUAGCUGGUUUUCAACAAACAUUAUACAUUAAAACAUAUAAUUAAUAUUAUAGUGUAACAUUAUUGAGGACAAGCCCAGUAAUUUAAACAAUACUACACCAAAUCUACUCUUACAAAUAGGCUUAAUAUCAGCCAACAAAAAUACUUUACCGUAAUAGAAAUUGAUAUAAUACAUAAUGUAACAUGUGAAGGAAAGUUGAAAUACUGGGGAAACUCAUUUACCCACCCAUACUAUGUAAAAAUAAGUAUUAAUAAACAUAAUAUCAAAUAGCCAGAAAUUACAACAAACUUAUAAAUAAUAACUGAUUAAGGAACUCGGCAAACUACUAUUUCGACUGUUUAACAAAAACAUUGUCUCAUGAAUAACAUAUGAGAU
rnacentral:rRNA from 1 species